UACGUAGGGCGCAAGCGUUGUCCGGAAUUAUUGGGCGUAAAGAGCUCGUAGGCGGCUUGUCACGUCGGAUGUGAAAGCCCGGGGCUUAACCCCGGGUCUGCAUUCGAUACGGGCUAGCUAGAGUGUGGUAGGGGAGAUCGGAAUUCCUGGUGUAGCGGUGAAAUGCGCAGAUAUCAGGAGGAACACCGGUGGCGAAGGCGGGUCUCUGGGCCGAUAUUGACGCUGAGGAGCGAAAGCGUGGGGAGCGAACAGG
rnacentral:rRNA from 1 species